UACUCCAAUUGACUGAGAAAACAGAGCGAAAUCCAAAGAGAGAAGAUGAAGAACGAUGAGGAUAAAUCGAUCAAGAUGGCAAAGGACUGGAUACAAAAUUUAGCUCAAGGUUGAAAGGGUCGUGAAAUAGAAACUCGAGCUCUUCAAAAUCUCCACUCUAUUCAUCUCCAAAAAGGCUUACUCCGAUGCCGUUUCAUAGUACCCAAAAGCUUAACUGAUAAAGAUGGGAAAUUGGCGUGUAGGAGCAAUUGCAACACUAAUUGACAUUAUCGGUUCUUCUGUUAUCGUCGCUACUGUCGGUAACAUCACCGUCUCUGUCGAUUUCAGCAUAUCCUACUUCUCACCGGCUAAGAUUAAUGAAGAAAUAGAGAUUGAAGCUAAAGUAUUGGGACAUAAAGGAACUCUAUCUUCAAAUACGGUGGUGAUUAGAAAGAAAGAAAAUGGUGAGCUGAUUGCUGUGGGAAAACAAUGGAUGUCUGCAUUUGAUCUCAAACACAAAAGUAAGCUAUAACACACAAAUUGUCAGAUAUACUCGUCGGAAGUGUCCCUUCUUCGGGCAACUUAACUGAACAUUUUUAGGUGUUUUUACAAUUGCUCUAAUCAUGAACUCGGAUAUUUAGUCUGCGGAAACAAAUAGAAUGCAAGGUCAUAUGGAACACAUCGUACCGCUUAGGUGCGCCAUUGUUUGCAAUGAAAUGUCUUUGAACUUGUUUUACGCUUCUCUGCAGCUUUAUGUAUCUAUCUUCUGGUAUUGCCGUUAAGAUUUUCUUCAAAUUUGGGAUUUCACGUAGCGGAACUUGAAUUGAAAA